rnacentral:misc_RNA from 1 species
GGAAUUGAUUAUCCAAGAGAAAAAGGAAUUGUGUUUGGAAGAAAUACGAUAAGUACAUAAGGAUUUUAAUAGAUUAAGUAAUAAGGUAAGAUCUCCGCUUUUCAAUCAUUAAGGUUUCAGAAAAUUGAAUGUUUCAAAAAAUAUAAUUUCCUAGGAUUCUUUAGAUUAGUCCAUCACAUCUAUAAAGGAGGCAAGAUAAUGGAAAACAAAUUACCUCCUUCAAAAAACAUUUUCCCAGAGAAAAAUAUAGGAUUCAUU